rnacentral:sRNA from 1 species
CACCGCCUGGGGAGUACGACCGCAAGGUUAAAACUCAAAUGAAUUGACGGGGACCCGCACAAGUAGUGGAGCAUGUGGUUUAAUUCGAAGAUACGCGCAGAACCUUACCAACACUUGACAUGUUCGUCGCGACUUUAAGAGAUUAAAGUUUUCGGUUCGGCCGGACGAAACACAGGUGCUGCAUGGCUGUCGUCAGCUCGUGUCGUGAGAUGUUGGGUUAAGUCCCGCAACGAGCGCAACCCUCACUUUUAGUUGCCAUCAUUUAGUUGGGCACUCUGAAAGAACUGCCAGUGAUAAGCUGGAGGAAGGUGGGGAUGACGUCAAGUCCUCAUGGCCCUUACGUGUUGGGCUACACACGUGCUACAAUGGUAUCUACAACAGGAAGCAAAACCGCGAGGUUAAGCAAAUCCUUAAAAGAUACCUCAGUUCGGAUUGCACUCUGCAACUCGAGUGCAUGAAGCUGGAAUUACUAGUAAUCGUGGAUCAGCGUGCCACGGUGAAUGCGUUCCCGGGUCUUGUACACACCGCCCGUCACACCAUGGGAGUUGGUUCUACCUUAAGGCAAGGUUUUAAACCCUUGACCACGGUAUAGUCAGCGACUGGGGUGAAGUCGUAACAAGGUAGCCGUAGGGGAACCUGCGGCUGGAUUACCUCCUUUCUAAGGAUGAAUAAAAGUAAAAUUUUAUUCUAAAUAAUAUACAGGUAAUGUUGACCGUCCUCAUUUCUCUUCUUAAAAUAGUGUUUCUCUUGCAUGGGGGCCGGUAGCUCAGUUGGUUAGAGCACACCCUUGAUAAGGGUGGGGUCGAAAGUUCGAGUCUUUCUCGGCCCACCAAUUUAAGAUCAUGGGGGAUUAGCUCAGCUGGGAGAGCGCCUGAUUUGCAUUCAGGAGGUCAGCGGUUCGAUCCCGCUAUCCUCCACCCAAAAACACUUAGUUAUAUAAAUUCGUAAAUAAAUAAUAAUUAAUAUCAAUAUCUAUAUCCGAACAUUAGUAAUGUUAUUAGCUAAUGUUCAAAAAAAAAAUUUGAUUCAACACAGAAUUUUUUUAAG